AGAAACCACCCGCCCCUCGUCAUCGUCCUUCCCUCCUCCCCUCCCCCACGAGCAAUUCCCACCACCCAUCCUGAGCGCCGCCAGCCUCCCACUCCCCGGCGAGCUGCCCCAUCCCGAGCGCCGCCAGCCUUCCACUCCCUGGCGAGCUGCCCCAUCCCUAGCGCCGCCAGCCUCCCCAAACCUCCGGUGCCUCCCGGAUCCGCCACCUCCACGCGGUGGCAGCUCCUCCACCAGAUCACGCCACGUGUAGCCAUACCCACAGUCCCGCCGGCGCCAGCGGCCCAACCCAGGUGGCGCUUCGACGGACCUCCUCCCGGCGAGGCCCGACGCCAACACCGGGGAUCUCCAGGAGCGGUCGUCCCCUGCUACGGAUCGCGCCGCCGCCGUCCCUAGCGCUUCUAUACAACCUUCGCCGACCGCCGCCACCAAUCUUCUGAUGCGCCGCCCCGGCAGAUCCGACGCGUCUCCUUGACCUCCCAGGCGAUGCCACCGGCAAAUCUAGGUUGGGGCCAUCCAUCUCCUCUCGCCCCCCGGCAAGGCUCCCCCAUCACCACGCAGCCAAGCUGCCGCAUCAAACUGGCCAUUCAACAACGCCGUCUUGGGACGUUCAAUGACGUGGCCCCAUGGCGUUUGCUGUCGCAGCGCCUGGAUCACAUUGUCACCAUGCUUCACGAGGCCGAGAUAUUUCCAUUCUUCAUUCAUCGACAUCAGAUUGAACUGAGAAGUCAGCGCAGACGCAAUUUGAGCUUCCCUCUCUCUCUGAUACGGGUUCGCAAGUGUCAUGUUCGGCUGUUCGCCGCAGCAGCCCGGAGGUGCUCCUGCAGCCGACCAAGAACAGGGCUGGGACAAGGAUAUUUUUGUUCUCAAACACGUCGCUGCGUAUGUGUGUAUAUGAACAUUUUACUCCAUGUUGUUCUUUACAUUUUGUCAUCUCCUAUAGAGUUUAUGAUGCAUAAUGACUAUUGGAUGGAUUAUUUGUUCAUGUGAAUGAAUGCAUUUUGUCUCUCAAACAAGAAUUAUGUGUUGGUUUUCAGUGCCAUAACAAACUUAUUCUUUGGGGAUCUUUGUAUGUAAAGUGUCUCAUUCAAGAAGGUAUGUGUUGCAAAAAAAUAUUUCUCUUGUUAUACAUAAACAUGCACUUUGUAUAAUCUGGUCCACGAAAAUAAAUCAUUGUGAGAAAAGAAGUGCACCGAUUGAGCCCCUUCCCAACAGUCUGUUAUUUUCUACAUUCUUGCUACUGAAAGUAGAGGAGAAUGACUGCUCGGAUUUUCUCUGAACUUCCUUGUUCUUCACUAUGGCGAUACAUGCUCAGCUCUCCCUCUCUGAACUCCUGCAAAACAAGUAUGUGUGAGUUAGCUAGAAGAUGAAUUCAGUCAAGAAAAAGAGUGUUGCAUGUUCGCUAACUGUAGUUGUUAUUUGAAGCUGCACAUUUCUAGCGAAGCAUGAUUGUGUUUAUGUUCAGAUGCUCCUUGCCUUUAAUUUUGAUCUUUAGUUUUCUAAACUGAAUUGGACUGCUUGUGUCAUCUUCUUCCUAAUUUUCCCAUGUGAAAAUUGUAUGAAAAUGAAGGAAUGGUCUGGGUGGACGAGCUAGCCCGAGGCGUGGUCUUGCUCGCCAGCGUUGGGCGCAGUUCGGCUAGAAAGAAGAAGGAGCUCCAUCCAGCCUAUGAAGUUCAACCGGUGAGCAUGUGCAGUCCGACGGCGCGUGUGUGCUUGUGUCCGGUUCACGGGCGUACCGUGUGUGGUGCUUGCAUGCACACGGAACCCACAUGUGGUGUGAGGAGAAGCCAAGCUAAAAAGAAGAACACACUACGCAAGACAGGCACAGAGAGGUUCAGGGCUUCAGGCAAUGUGAUGGCGCAGCCGCUGCAGUAUCAACUACAACAGCUCGGCGCUCCUGGCGCUCCUCUCCCUUUGCUACUUUGCAUGCUGUGAUGCCACCGCCUCCUCACUGUACGAAAAGGUUUGAGUGAGAAAAAAUUGCAGCUCAUGAAUGAACCUGGAGAAGUUCUAAUGCGAUGGUGCUAUUCUUUGCAGUUAUUUGUUUCUCGUGAAUGCAUUUGGUUGUGGCUGAUGGAUCUCUAUCUUCAUAUAUUAUUUGCUUUAUUUUGGUC